rnacentral:rRNA from 1 species
UGGAAACUNUCUGACUUGAGUGCAGAAGGGGAGAGUGGAAUNCCAUGUGUAGCGGUGAAAUGCGUAGAUAUAUGGAGGAACACCAGUGGCGAAAGCGGCUCUCUGNUCCGUCACUGACGCUGAGGCUCGAAAGCGUGGGUAGCGANCAGGAUUAGAUACCCUGGUAGUNCACGCCGUAAACGAUGAGUGCUAGGUGUUAGGCCCUUUCCGGGGCUUAGUGCCGGAGCUAACGCAAUAAGCACUCCGCCUGGGGAGUACGACCGCAAGGUUGAAACUCAAAGGAAUUGACGGGGGCCCGCACAAGCGGUGGAGCAUGUGGUUUAAUUCGAAGCAACGCGAAGAACCUUACCAGGUCUUGACAUCCCGAUGCUAUUCUUAGAGAUAGGAAGUUACUUCGGUACAUCGGAGACAGGUGGUGCAUGGUUGUCGUCAGCUCGUGUCGUGAGAUGUUGGGUUAAGUCCCGCAACGAGCGCAACCCUUAUUGUUAGUUGCCAUCAUUAAGUUGGGCACUCUAGCGAGACUGCCGGUAAUAAACCGGAGGAAGGUGGGGAUGACGUCAAAUCAUCAUGCCCCUUAUGACCUGGGCUACACACGUGCUACAAUGGUCGGUACAACGAGUUGCGAGCCGGUGACGGCAAGCUAAUCUCUGAAAGCCGAUCUCAGUUCGGAUUGGAGGCUGCAACUCGCCUCCAUGAAGUCGGAAUCGCUAGUAAUCGCGGAUCAGCACGCCGCGGUGAAUACGUUCCCGGGCCUUGUACACACCGCCCGUCACACCACGAGAGUUUGUAACACCCGAAGUCGGUGAGGUA